ACGAUUCCUUCAAGGUCGAUAGAAGUUAGUGAUCAAUACUAAUACAAAAGGUAAACUAAAAACGGAAGUUUAUGGUGGGUCCUUAGGUUUAUUGGGGGUCUGAAUAGCAGUGCAGACCCUUGGCGGCCAGGCAACUAGAAACGUCGUGCGGAGGCGUUUCACGCGACGUAACAAAUUGUCAUUGUACAUUUUGGACUUACUUUUGAAUAGGGAAUCAUUUACUUACGUCUUGCAGCACAUCUUUUCAGAACGUCUUGUUCUAGCUAUGAAUAGUUAGACAUCGAUUCUUGGUGAUUGAAAUUUAAACAAUUUAUUGCCUUACUACUUCCUGAAAUUAGAAUUUCUAGUGCGUGUAUAGCCUAAACAUGGAAACUUUGCGGAAAUUGCAAAAGUUCAUGGAAUUGGAAACCUUGUACUUUUAUAAUGAAUGUUCUAAAAACAUUUCAAUAUUUAACUGUGAAACCUAGAAAACGGGUGUUCUUGUAAUAUCUGUGGUUUAAUCUAAAUGUUUAAUUUAAUCUGUAAAGUGAAAUUUUUAUCUGUAAAACCUACUAAACGAUUGUUCUUAUAACAUCUGAUAUUUAAUUCUUUAGAUUUACGAAAUGCAUAUUAGUAAAAUAUUCGAAAUUUGACCUUAAGAAUAUUCGUAGGACUUUCGGGAGAGAUGGUUCUAGAACAUGCAAAAUUUAAGUCUCAAGGACAUUUGUAAGACUUCAGAAAUGGACGUUGCUAGGACAUGCAAAAUUUUAGUCUCGGGAACAUCUUGGGAAUGCUCAUUCAUAGGAUGUUCGGAUAUAAACUUAACAUAUUAUUGCCAGAGCGUAUCAGAAAAAUAGAAAAAUGACUGCAAGAGAAACAAAUAAAAAUAAACUCCAGUCAAUUUAACCAUAUUACAUUUACAAUACGAGAACGGAAAGCACCUAAUAUUCAAUUGAAUGGCACGCACAUAUCAUAAAUAAAGCAUGUUAAAUACUAAGACUCCACAUAGACUCAUAACUUACAUGGAAGCAACAUACUAAAUCAAUUAUAGACAAAAUACGGAUAAAAAGGAAACAGAUGUACUAGUCGAAAUUCUAAACUCAGCAUAGGAAAUAAAUUGGAAAUAUCCAAAACGAUAAUAAAACCAAUUUGGACGUACGGAUACUACUAUGGGAGACAGCUGCAAUGAGUCAGGUAAGUAAACCAGUGUUCCGUCUAGAAAAUACUCAGAACAAUAGUGAACGGCCCAUGGAAUGUCGGAAAGGAGGAUAUACGUAAAGACCUAAAAUACCGAUGGUCAAAGAAGAAAUCGGCAAGUACUCAAAAAAAAAGAAAAGAAAAAUUUAACAAAUGUCUAGCUGGACAAAUUUUAAAGUAUAAAUUAAAUAAUAAUAAAAAAAAUAUAUUCAGCUGUCACGAUUUACGUGCAUCACCCUGUAUAUGAUAUAGAAUAUGUAUAUAGGAUUUCUGGAAAUAUAACUUAUAUGUAAGUUAUUAUUACAAAAAUCUUUUUCUAUCAACUGAAAAUUUCUUUUUAUUGCAGUUUUCCAAAUGCUAGAACAACACCUAAUGAAUCCUAUCAACAAAUUGAACUUAGCGCUGACAAAAAUUACAGAAUCAUUAUUAAAUGCAUCAUUGUACUGUCUCCAUAAAAUUUCAACAACAUUCCUACCAACAGCAGUCAAAUUUCAUUACGUAUUUAAUCUACGUGAUCUCUCAAACAUCUUUCGAGUCAGAUUUAUUUCAAGGAAGCAAGUAAUUAAAGUGACAAAAUCUUAAUUAAAACCAUAGAAAUGUAUUGCUCUUUGCUGCAGUUUACCUUUUAAAAUUAAUAUGCUUUUUUGUGUAAAGUGUUUCCAAACUGGUGACGUUAGCACAGUAAUAUUUUUCCAUAGGAAGCUUUAUCUCCGAAUAAAUAAAAAAAUUAAAGACUCUUCGAACAUGUGUAUACUUGACUAUGUCGUAAACUGGGUGGGUGGAUGCGAAGCGCGGUGGCUAUGAGAAUUUCCCCACGUAUAAAAAAAAGAGUGGAUUUUGUUACGUUUAUAUUUAUACGCGUCAUUAAUAUCUUCGCUGAAUCGGCCAUUAUGGUAAUUUAUCUUAUUUAGCUUAUCCAACAUAAUUUCGGAAUCUGAUAUAGAGAGAUCUCUCUGAUCUGAUGAUCCUCAAUCCGAACGAUACAUAUCUCGGUAGCUUAUCUCGUAGAAGUCGUAGGGGUCGUCCACAACAAAAUCACACACGCACCGCGAUUGUUCUCGGCUGCGAGUGUCCACAAAAAACACAACAACUUACAACAGAUGUUCGAUACGUCCUCCGUUUUCUUGUAAACAGAGCCUGACUGUUCUCUUAAAAUUUUACUGUAUUGUGUCUUCCUGUAUCCCCAGUACUAAAAGUAAAGAGGAUUUAAAUCUUAGGACUGAACAGGUCAAAGCACAGAUCCUCCUCGACCGAUUACCUGUUUCCGAAACAGCUGGUCAAGUGCUCUUGUACCGGCGUUGGUAGAAUGUGGUGGUGCACCAUCCUGCACGAACCAUCUCUUAAUGCGCCUGUACUUUCGUGUGCCCGGAAAUAUUCCUUACGUAUAUUUGUUAUUCCACAUUUACGAAAUAUAGUCUCAUCAGUAAAUGGCACCUUCACGGGGAAAUUGGAAUUGCCUUGGACUACAAAAUUAACAACUCAUCGAUCGUUAGAAAGGGCAUACUGUUUGCACACGGUGAGACUGUUCCGUCUGGAAAUCAUUUGAUGAGAUUGUACGUUCAUGAAACAACAAGAGUGUAUUCGGAUAAAUUAAUCAGUGCUGAAGAUGAAAAAGCCUUUCAGCAGAAAUAUAUUGUCAUUUUGCGGAAGGAAUCGGCGAACCAAAAUAUAUCCCAAUAAAAGAUUGGCAACAAUUGACGAAGUUACUGGAUGAAGAUCUGGUUAAUUAUAACGAACUGCAAGUAAUUCCAACAUUGAGAUACUUCAACGCUUCCAAUGGAAAACGCUAAGAUCCCUAAUAAAUGCACCCUGGUAUGUCACCAACGAAAUAAUACAUCGCGACCUCAAUAUACCCACAGUCAAAGAAGAAAUAACAAAAUAUAGCAACAGAUAUAGCAAAAGAGUCAACAAACAUCGAAACCCCCUAAUUACUAAAUUACUUAAUACGUCGGACCAGAUCCGCAAGCUAAGAAAACACUACACGUUAGACCUAAGCACAAGAUUUAACUAGAUGUUUAUAUUAAGUAAUAUUUAUUUAUUUAUAAUACUUGUUUAUAAUUAUACUUAUCUAUAAUAAGCAUUAACUUAUUAUAAAUAUUUAGCCAUGUCACUGCGCCACGCCAGAGAAAAUUACUGAAAAUUCUCAAUGCGAGAAUUGAUUGUAAAUUACUAACAAAUAAAAAAAAAACUCUUCGAUUGUAAAAAUGGAUAACAUAAGAACUUAUUUUACAUUGUAUAUAGCAGAGUACUACUAAAGUUUAAUGUCAAUUAAUUUCUAAUUCGUGAGUAAGAACCUUUGUAAAUAAAACACAUUUUUAUCUCCAGUACAAAUAUAUGUUUUUUGAAUUAAAAUUAAUUGAUAAAACAAGUAAAAGCUAUAUUUAUUCUAAUUAGAAUAUUCGAAUUUUUUAUAUAUUUUACUAUUUCUUUUUUCUAUUCCAAUAUAUAUUUUUUUAUCCUCGAGUAGGUAGCGGCAAUGUAUGCUAUG